AGCUUGCUCCUCUGUUGAUUUCCGGACCGGUGUGUAUUGCCUACUUAAUCUGCCUGGUAGUGGGGGACAACGUUUCGAAAGGAACGCUAAUACCGCAUACGUCCUACGGGAGUAAGCAGGGUACCUUCGGGCCUUGCGCUAUCAGAUGAGCCUAGGUCGGAUUAGCUAGUUGGUGAGGUAAUGGCUCACCAAGGCGACGAUCCGUAACUGGUCUGAUAGGAUGAUCAGUCACACUGGAACUGAGACACGGUCCAAACUCCUACGGGAGGCAACACUGGGGAAUAUUGGACAAUGGGCGAAAGCCUGAUCCAGCCAUGCCGCGUGUGUGAAGAAGGUCUUCGGAUUGUAAAGCACUUUAAUUUGGGAGGAAGGGUUGUAGAUUAAUACUCUGCAAUUUUGACGUUACCGACAGAAUAAGCACCGGCUAACUCUGUGCCAGCAGCCGCGGUAAUACACAGGGUGCAAGCGUUAAUCGGAAUUACUGGGCGUAAAGCGCGCGUAGGUGGUUCGUUAAGUUGGAUGUGAAAUCCCCGGGCUCAACCUGGGAACUGCAUCCGAAACUGGCGAGCUAGAGUAUGGUAGAGGGUGGUGGAAUUUCCUGUGUAGCGGUGAAAUGCGUACAUAUAGGAAGGAACACCAGUGGCGGAAGCCACCACCUGGACUGAUACUGACACUGAGGUGCUAAAGCGUGGGGAGCAAACAGGAUUAGAUACCCUGGUAGUCCACCCCGUAAACUAUGUCCACUAGCCGUUGGGAGCUUUGAGCUCUUAGUUGCCGCAGCUAAUGCAUUAAAUUUACCGCCUGGGGAGUACGGCCGCAAGGUUAAAACUCAAAUGAAUUGACGGGGGCCCGCACAAGCGCUGGAGCAUGUGGUUUAAUUCGAAGCAACGCGAAGAACCUUACCAGGCCUUGACAUCCAAUGAACUUUCCAGAGAUGGAUUGGUGCUUUCGGGAACAUUGAGACAGGUGCUGCAUGGCGGUCGUCAGCUCGUGUCGUGAGAUGUUGGGUUAAGUCCCGUAACGAGCGCAACCCUUGUCAUUAGUUACCAGCACGUUAUGGUGGGCACUCUAAGGAGACUGCCGGUGACAAACCGGAGGAAGGUGGGGAUGACGUCAAGUCAUCAUGGCCCUUACGGCCUGGGCUACACACGUGCUACAAUGGUCGGUACAAAGGGUUGCCAAGCCGCGAGGUGGAGCUAAUCCCAUAAAACCGAUCGUAGUCCGGAUCGCAGUCUGCAACUCGACUGCGUGAAGUCGGAAUCGCUAGUAUUCGCGAAUCAGAAUGUCGCGGUGAAUACGUUCCCGGGUCCUUGUACCAGCACCGCCCGUCACCACCCAGUGGGAUGUGGG
rnacentral:rRNA from 1 species